rnacentral:rRNA from 1 species
GGAGGUGUUCCUUGAGGAGUGGCUUCCGGAGCUAACGCGUUAAGUCGACCGCCUGGGGAGUACGGCCGCAAGGUUAAAACUCAAAUGAAUUGACGGGGGCCCGCACAAGCGGUGGAGCAUGUGGUUUAAUUCGAUGCAACGCGAAGAACCUUACCUACUCUUGACAUCCAGAGAACUUAGCAGAGAUGCAUUGGUGCCUUCGGGAACUCUGAGACAGGUGCUGCAUGGCUGUCGUCAGCUCGUGUUGUGAAAUGUUGGGUUAAGUCCCGCAACGAGCGCAACCCUUAUCCUUUGUUGCCAGCGCGUGAUGGCGGGAACUCAAAGGAGACUGCCGGUGAUAAACCGGAGGAAGGUGGGGAUGACGUCAAGUCAUCAUGGCCCUUACGAGUAGGGCUACACACGUGCUACAAUGGCGCAUACAAAGAGAAGCGACCUCGCGAGAGCAAGCGGACCUCACAAAGUGCGUCGUAGUCCGGAUCGGAGUCUGCAACUCGACUCCGUGAAGUCGGAAUCGCUAGUAAUCGUGGAUCAGAAUGCCACGGUGAAUACGUUCCCGGGCCUUGCACUCCCCGGCCCGUCAAAA